AAGACGAAUCGGGCAAUCGCGGGGCGCGCACGCGCUUCGAGGAAGGUCCGGACUCCAUAGGGCAGGGUAACGGCUAACGGCCGUCCGUCGGUCCGGUGGCAACACCGGCACGGCGAGGAACAGGGCCACAGAGACGAGUCUGCGAAGCGGGCGGGAGGCAACUUCCGCACAGGCACGGCCACUCCGUGUCGCGCCGGCCGGCAACGGCCGGUGGCAUCGCAGGGUGAAACGCGGCAACCUCUACCCGGAGCAACAUCAAAUAGGCAUGCGCACGGUCCUCGGACCGGGAAGGGCGGCCCGUUCGAGCAUGCGGGUAGAUGGCUAGAUCCGGCCAGCAAUGGCCGGGCCAGAGGAAUGAUUGCCCAUCGGACUCGCGUCCGGUGUACAGAAUCCGGCCCAUAGAUUCGUCUUGCCU
rnacentral:RNase_P_RNA from 1 species